rnacentral:rRNA from 1 species
CCUGAACGCUGGCGGCGUGGCUAAGACAUGCAAGUCGCACGGACGUAGCAAUACGUUAGUGGCGAACGGGUGAGUAAUGAAUCGCUAAUGUACCCCGGACUCUGGGAUAGCCGGCCGAAAGGCCGGGUAAUACCAGAUGAUAUACCGAACCGCAUGGUUUGGUUCUCAAAGGUCCGCCGGUCUGGGAGCAGGCGAUUUCGUAUCAGCUAGUUGGUGAGGUAACGGCUCACCAAGGCGACGACGCGUAGCCGGACUGAGAGGUUGCCGGCCACAUUGGGGACUGAGACACUGCCCAGACUCCUACGGGGGGCUGCAGUAACGAAUCUUCCGCAAUGUACGCAAGUAUGACGGAGCGACGCCGCGUGU